rnacentral:rRNA from 1 species
ACACAUAAGCGGGAGGAAAAAGAAACCUAACCAAGGGAUUUCCCUAGUAACUGCGAGUGAAGCGGGAAAAGCUCAAAUUUAAAAUCUGGCAGUCUUUUGGCUGUCCGAGUUGUAGUCUGGAGAAGUGCUUUCCGCGCUGGACCGUGUAUAAGUCUCUUGGAACAGAGCGUCAUAGAGGGUGAGAAUCCCGUCUUUGACACGGACUACCAGUGCUUUGUGAUGCGCUCUCAAAGAGUCGAGUUGUUUGGGAAUGCAGCUCAAAAUGGGUGGUGAAUUCCAUCUAAAGCUAAAUAUUGGCGAGAGACCGAUAGCGAACAAGUACCGUGAGGGAAAGAUGAAAAGCACUUUGGAAAGAGAGUUAAACAGUACGUGAAAUUGCUGAAAGGGAAACGCUUGAAGUCAGUCGCGUCGUCCGGAACUCAGCCUUGCUUUUGCUUGGUGCACUUUCCGGUUGACGGGUCAGCAUCGAUUUUGACCGUCGGAAAAGGGCUGGAGUAAUGUGGCACCCUCGGGUGUGUUAUAGACUCUGGUCGCAUACGGCGGUUGGGAUCGAGGAACGCAGCGCGCCGUAAGGCAGGGGUUCGCCCACUUUCGCGCUUAGGAUGCUGGCAUAAUGGCUUUAAACGACCCGUCUUGAAACACGGACCAAGGAGUCUAACAUACCUGCGAGUGUUUGGGUGGAAAACCCGAGCGCGUAAUGAAAGUGAAAGUUGAGACCCCUGUCGUGGGGGGCAUCGACGCCCGGACCUGACGUUCUCUGAAGGAUCCGCGGUAGAGCAUGUAUGUUGGGACCCGAAAGAUGGUGAACUAUGCCUGAAUAGGGUGAAGCCAGAGGAAACUCUGGUGGAGGCUCGUAGCGAUUCUGACGUGCAAAUCGAUCGUCAAAUUUGGGUAUAGGGGCGAAAGACUAAUCGAUCAUGCCAUGCCAC